GAGACGCUGGCGGCGUGCUUACACCAUGCAAGUCCAAACGAUGAAGCUGGAGCUUGCUCCGGUGGAUUAGUGGCGAACGGGUGAGUAACACGUGACGAAAUCUGCCCUUGACUCUGGGAUAACUGCGGGAAACUGUAGCUAAUACCGGAUACUUUCCCUGGUGGGCAUCCACUGGGGAAGAAAGAAUUUCGGUCAAGGAUGAUCUCGCGGCCUAUCAGCUAGUUGGUGAGGUAACGGCUCACCAAGGCGACGACGGGUAGCCGGCCUGAGAGGGUGACCGGCCACACUGGGACUGAGACACGGCCCAGACUCCUACGGGAGGCAGCAGUGGGGAAUAUUGCACAAUGGGCGCAAGCCUGAUGCAGCAACGCCGCGUGAGGGAUGACGGCCUUCGGGUUGUAAACCUCUUUUAGCAGGGAAGAAGCGAAAGUGACGGUACCUGCAGAAAAAGCACCGGCUAACUACGUGCCAGCAGCCGCGGUAAUACGUAGGGUGCAAGCGUUGUCCGGAAUUAUUGGGCGUAAAGAGCUCGUAGGCGGUUUGUCACGUCUGCUGUGAAAAUCCAAGGCUCAACCUUGGACUUGCAGUGUGCGUACGGGCAGGCUAGAGUGCGGUAGGGGAGAUGGGAAUUCCUGGUGUAGCGGUCGGAAUGCGCAAGAUAUCAGGAGGAACACCAAUUGGGCGAAAAGGGCACCACUACUCCUGCGGGACCCGUAAACUGACCGCUUGAAGGCAGCGCAAACAGCAGUUGGGGGAAGCCGAACACAGGGAUUAAGCAUACCCUGGGUUACUCCCACAGCCGUAAACCCGUGGGGUGGCUAAACUGUGGGGCCACAGUUUCCCCGAGUGCCCCGUGACACGCAAGUUUCAACACUU
rnacentral:rRNA from 1 species